CUUUCUCAGAUGGAGAUGAGUCUGACUGGAAUACUUAUGAAGAUGUACAAGACCCAGCAACGGGACCCAAUUGUCUGUAUUCACUUGCAGAGUUUGACCAGAAGGACAACCUAGGCACUUUUCAAUGCCAGUGAAAAGAAUAAUCAUCUUCCAAUCAACACACCAUGUCUUACCGAACCCUUCACAAAACAUCUGUAAAUGCUUUUUUAUGAUAUUCACCCACUUAUCUUUCAACCCCUGGUAUAGCCUACAUAGUAUUACACAAUAACAAUCGUAUCUUUCAACCCCUGGUAUAGCCUACAUAGUAUUACACAAUAACAAUCUUAUCUUUCAACCCCUGGUAUAGCCUACAUAGUAUUACACAAUAACAAUCGUAUCUUUCAACCCCUGGUAUAGCCUACAUAGUAUUACACAAUAACAAUCGUAUCUUUCAACCCCUGGUAUAGCCUACAUAGUAUUACACAAUAACAAUAUUAGUUGUGAAAUAAUCAAAUGGAUGAGGUGACCAAUUGUAUUUAGCUUGAUUUGAUUGGACAUAUACCUUUAUUUGUGACCCUACAAGGGAACAACUUUUGCUGACGCUUUUCUACACCAAAUGAUGUGUAGUUGGGAGCUGUUCCAGACAGAGAGACAUGCUGUUCUGGGGUUUUUACUUGUAUUGCUAAUGCUCACACACUGCCAUCCUGCAUUAAAUAAACACACUUAUCUGUUCA